GUCAGACAUCUGCUUGCGGUGACAAACUGCCAAUAUUUCAUGAACAUUUGUCUUAAUUUUCUUCAAUAAAAGCAAAGAAUCCACCUCCAAUUUGUGCUGAGGUACCACACCUGAAGAAGCAUGCAAGUCUGUGUGUCAAGUUUAAGGAUCUUUCAAUCUCCAAUCAUUCCUUCUCGGGCUGUGUGUUCAUUGAGGUGGAACUUCU